rnacentral:tRNA from 1 species
GGCACUUUGGCGGAGUGGUUAACGCGAUGCCCUGCUAUUAAUGAUAGCCUAGGCAUUCCCUUCGGGGGCGUGUGUUCGAAUCACACAGGUGUCG